CGGGCUAUAGCGCAGCCUGGCUAGCGCGCUUGACUGGGGGUCAAGAGGUCAUGGGUUCAAAUCCCGUUAGCCCGA
rnacentral:tRNA from 1 species